rnacentral:tRNA from 1 species
GUCCCCGUAGUGCAAUGGAUAGAAUACCUCCUUCCUAAGGAGUUGAUAGAGGUUCGAAUCCUCUCGGGGGCACCA